rnacentral:rRNA from 1 species
GAACGGGCGAAGGGGAGCUUGCUCCCCCGAGCUAGUGGCGGACGGGUGAGUAACGCGUGAGUAAUCUGCCUCUGGAUGGGGAACAACAUCGGGAAACCGGUGCUAAUACCGCAUAAUAUACAGCUAUGGCAUCAUAGUUGUAUCAAAGAUUUAUUGUCCAGAGAUGAGCUCGCGUCCGAUUAGCUAGUUGGCGGGGUAACGGCCCACCAAGGCGACGAUCGGUAGCCGGACUGAGAGGUUGACCGGCCACAUUGGGACUGAGACACGGCCCAGACUCCUACGGGAGGCAGCAGUGGGGGAUAUUGGUCAAUGGGGGGAACCCUGAACCAGCAAUGCCGCGUGAAGGAAGAAGGCCUUCGGGUUGUAAACUUCUUUUAUUAGGGAAGAAAAUGACGGUAUCUAAUGAAUAAGCCACGGCUAACUACGUGCCAGCAGCCGCGGUAAU